UCUAUCAACACCCUAUAUUUGUCUGUCUGGGUUUCUACAAUUACCAAAAUCUGUUAUACAGAUAUAUUUUUUACUUAUUUUACAUGUCUUUUUCCCAAUUUUCUGUGUGAAAUGUGUACUUUCAUACCGUUAGAUUCCCCACUGAUUACAAGCACCUGAUAAACGAACCAAACCAAAACAAUUCUUUUCUUCUCAAAACUUGGGGAAAAGCUGGAGAUCUAGAGUUAUCAACACAGGGGAUAAAAUGAUGUAGUCGAGUUGAUAAAGAUAAGACACAGCUAUAGACCUCAGCUAGCCUACUCGGGCAUUUUGCUUAAAAUUAAAAAUCUGAAACAAUUGUAGAUAUAUUUUUCAUGAAGCUCCAGUUCCUUGAUAUUUUUUUUUCAUUUUCAAGAGACAAGAUGCAAGCCUAGUGCUUCUUGAAAAUUUAAAAAAAAUGUUAGAAUGAGAGUUAUCUGAAGGAAAAAUCUGCUUAUUAACAAUCGCUGAUACUAGAGCUUGCAUAACUUUUAUUUUAUCAUUAUGGUUUGAUAAUUUAAAGAAAUUUUUUUUUGGAUUCAAGUUGGCCAAGUCAUGAAAUAUUUUGUUGCUUGAUAUGCGCGACUGAGUUGGGUUGGUUUGUUGUUUUUGUAAGUGAUUCCUAUCCAGUAUACAAUAGAAGACACUUCAAUUAACUAAUUGUACUUAAUAUCAUUGAUGGGAUGACAGUUAUUAUUUUUUGUUUAUGAAAUUAACACCUUUUUUGAGCAAUGCUUGUAAUAACCACCUCUGAAAACUAUAGCAUUAUGUCUGUGUUUUUAUUAAAUCAAUGUACAUCGGUUUUGAUGACAAGCGUAUUCAGAAGCCUUUCUCCACAUCAUCCAUUCGGCUGGGUCUAUUUUGUUUUUCUGUUGUGAAGAAGCUAGUAAACCUUAAAGAGGAAAGCAAUAGUAACAAUUUCUUUUAUAUUGUUGAUGUCACAUCUGUUAAGAUUUUGAUGUAAAAUAUAAGUAUG
rnacentral:sRNA from 1 species